GCGCCGGUGGUGUAAAAGGCGAGCAUCGCUGCCCGGAAAAAAGAAGAUGCGGGUUCGAGUCCCGUCUGGCGCA
rnacentral:tRNA from 1 species